rnacentral:lncRNA from 1 species
GGAAGAAAGAGUUUGAUAAACUCAAGAAUCUCCCAAAGUGAGGCGUCAUCUUCAGUACAUCUGGAAGAUAUUCCAGAAGACAGCUCAUUAUAUGCACAGCUACAGGCUUAUCUGUCACAAAAGAAAAAUGAUACUUUUGCAUCAAUAGCCAAAGAAGACAAUGAUGAUAUCAAGUCUUAUGAAAAGGUAUCAAAAAAAGAAAUGAUAAUUCUUUUAGAAAGCUGUGAAAUACAGAGAAAAGAAGAACCCUGGAAGAUAUUCAAGCGAUACCUAAUAAACGGUUUAUAUUUCCUGGGUGAAUCAUACAAAACCCGAUCAUAUUACGAAACCAUUCUGAUAAGCACGGGUAGUGUUGAAUUUCAACACUUUUCAGGCUACAAUACAAGUGAGAAUGUUUAUAACUUCUCGAAAAUGAUAAUUAAACAGAUUAUAUCUGUUGAGGAUUGAGGUAUCUCCACCAUGAAAGAAAGGCAGAUCAGCCUAAACAAAAUCGAUAUGAGUUUCACAUACUGGUACUAUACUCAUGUCUUUGAUAAAGUCCUCUAUUAUAAUAACGAAAGACAUAAACAUACGUGGUUUAUGAAAAUAUGUGAAAAGAUAUUUGCAGGACCAAUUCCUAAUUGGUUUCCAAAUUGGUGGUCAUACCACGACCCGACUAUAAAAAUUCUGUUGGAUCCCUUUCUUAAAUUAUAUAAAGAAUGGGUUAAAGUCUCACCAGAUCUUAAUGAGUUAUACAAUACACAUCAUAUUUGUUAUCUUGAAAAAAUAGGCCAGAUUUAUUUUUUCAUUGAAUUUUCUAUCCCUUGGAUUCACAAAUGGACCCCAGAAGUGGGAUUCACCGAGGAACAAAUCUCUUAUUUAUAUAGGACUUUUUACAAUCAUUUUUUGGAUAAAUUGAUGAAAAAGGAUCCCAAAACAAAAACGUUAUACGGGCAAGAACUGCUAGAUCUUAUUGCAACAAGGAUCCACGAAUAUAGUAUUACUCCCUAAAAGGGAAUCAUCGCUGAUAGCUCGGUCAGGCAUAUUGCCAGGAAAAUCUCCAUUCAAGAUGGAGAUAAAGAAGAGAUGAUCAACAACUAUUUAGAAGAGGUUAAGAGGAGUCUUCUUCUAAAUCUCACUCAAAUUGAAAAAUCUGACACUUCUAUGAGAAGUGAGACGAGCGAUGACACUACCGAUGAUAACCAAGAAGCUCAACCUAUUGAAAAACUAUGUCAGAAGAUACUCUGAGAAAGGCGGAAGAUUUCCUCAAAAAAUUAAAGGAAAAGGACAUCUUUUUCUAGCAAUAGGUAACCAUUAGGAUAGAUAUAUGACCCGUUAAAAAUAUUUGUUUCAAUUAAGCAUGUGGUUACACAUCUUUUUCUUGAGAUAUUAAAAUAAAUUCAAGGAUGCCGUGACGCACCUUGUCCAAAACUAUAAUUGUUUUUCAUUAAUUUAAAAUAACACUUUUAGAUAAAGUUAAUAAGUUUGAUGCAAAGAAGACAGUUAUGUCUCUAAACGUCAAGACCAAGAAUGCGGUUACGCAUAUAGGUUGAGACCAAAUAAAAGUUCAACAAAUUAAAAAAAAAUGCGAGCAAAUCAUGGCUACAACAUAAUUAUCCAAUAAUAAUAAUAAUAGUAAUAAUAAUAAUAAUAAUAAUAAUUUCAAGUAUAAGUCAAUAAAAGCGACUGUGCUAGAACCACGAAACUCGAGGGAGGCCUAAUACCUUUCCCUCGGUCAACUUAAUUCUUUACCUGAAUUUCUGGUUCGCAAACCAAAAAAAGAGUCAUUUCCUUUUGAUUAGGGAUUAAACAAAAUGGUGACUUGCAACACCAUAACUCAAUUCCAAGUGG